GGGUGGUUGGCAUAUUCAUUUCAGAAGCACAGUCCUAAUCUAAAUGCAAAUGCUAGAAGUGACUUGUCUGAAACAUCACAGAAAUCAAGGUGUUUUUUGCUUGCUGACACACAUCUGCAAAAAGGAUGUUAAGCAGCACCAAUAUCUUCAGGAUUUUUGGUCACUACUUUAUUAAUUUAACGAUGGAGAAGGGGCAUCCUUAAGCUCGUUCCCCUCACAGGAGGUAUCUCACUGGAUUUUGUGUGCAAUUAAAUGGCUCCCUAGCAGAACACCAACAGCUCAAAGCUGACCUUCAGCUUCCCCCCAGAGCUGUCCAUCCCUGAACUUCUUCCUC